rnacentral:rRNA from 1 species
AUUGAACGCUGGCGGCAGGCCUAACACAUGCAAGUCGAACGAGUGGCGGACGGGUGAGUAAUGUCUGGGAAACUGCCUGAUGGAGGGGGAUAACUACUGGAAACGGUAGCUAAUACCGCAUACCAUCAGAUGUGCCCAGAUGGGCUUAGCUUGUUGGUGGGAUAACGGCACACCAAAGCGACGAUCCCUAGCUGGUCUGAGAGGAUGACCAGCCACCCUGGAACAGAGACACCGUCCAGACUCCUACGGGAGGCAGCAGUGGGGAACAUUGCACAAUGGGCACAAGCCGGAUGCAGCCAUGCCGCGAGUAUGAAGAAGGCCAUCGGGUUGAAAAGUACUUUCAGCGGAGAGGCGUUAUCCGCAGAAGAAGCACCGGCUAACUCCGUGCCAGCAGCCGCGGUAAUAC